rnacentral:rRNA from 1 species
GACGAACGCUGGCGGCGUGCUUAACACAUGCAAGUCGAACGGAAAGGCCCUGCUUUUGUGGGGUGCUCGAGUGGCGAACGGGUGAGUAACACGUGAGUAACCUGCCCUUGACUUUGGGAUAACUUCAGGAAACUGGGGCUAAUACCGGAUAGGAGCUCCCGCUGCAUGGUGGGGGUUGGAAAGUUUCGGCGGUUGGGGAUGGACUCGCGGCUUAUCAGCUUGUUGGUGGGGUAGUGGCUUACCAAGGCUGUGACGGGUAGCCGGCCUGAGAGGGUGACCGGCCACAUUGGGACUGAGAUACGGCCCAGACUCCUACGGGAGGCAGCAGUGGGGAAUAUUGCACAAUGGGCGGAAGCCUGAUGCAGCAACGCCGCGUGCGGGAUGACGGCCUUCGGGUUGUAAACCGCUUUCGCCUGUGACGAAGCGUGAGUGACGGUAAUGGGUAAAGAAGCACCGGCUAACUACGUG